UGGGCUGGAAAUAAUAAUAGCAUAUUACUUUCAGACGAUAGACUGUGUUUACAUACAUUACAUCACAAAAGCUUUGAGUGAGCCCAGUGGAGUAGCACUGGUGACCCAUGCCAUAUAGGUGAAGAGGUGAGGUUCUGUGAAUUUAGGUGAUUUCCCAAGAUUAUGAAAUGAGUAACAACUUACUGAUAAAGCUGUGAAGAGUAAAUAAGUUGAAUAUAUGAAAAACUCUAGAGUGUAGGAAAUAUGGUAUAGCGAUAGUUACUUCGCUGGGAUGCUGUGCGACCUUAACGUCUGAGAACUGCAUCAACAAGGAAUGGAAAACAUGGUGAGAGGAAGCUUUAAGAGAGAAAGGAAGCCUGAAUGCGAAAGACAGGAGUUCUACGAAGACAAAGCAAACUUCAACAUGCCACACCCUGGAGAUUUGAUGUACUGAAGGUUCUGAACUCUGGCAUUCAGUUACCACUGGACCACGGACUGUGUCGCACUGCAGUGAUUCAUCCACUGUCUGCCUUCUCCGCAUUCUGGGCUGCUUGAGGGCAGGAACAAACCCACCCGUUAGCGUAUCUCCAACCUCAUAAAGUCUCUGGAGAGUCGUAUGGAAUCAGUCAGUGUGAGUUGAGGAAGUCAAUGAGUACUCGAGAAGGUUAAAUUCAAAAUACCUAACAGGGAAA